UUGUUGAUGUGGGUGAAUGCUGAAUGAUCCAAUAGUCUCAGACAGGAAGUCCAGGAGCCUUUGACUACGCCCUGGCAGGUAUAGUAAAGACCAGGAGCCUUUGACUACGCCCUGGCAAUUAUAGUAAAGACUAGGAGCCUUUGACUACGCCCUGGCAAUGGUAAGUACAGAGGUGUUAUAUACACAUAUACAUAUAUGACAGGAAGACCAGGUGCUCGAUUCUACGCCCUGGCACAGAGUUACUGGGACUAUGUGGUGACAAGUUUACUCUUGAUGUGGUUUGUCUGUGUUAUGACGCAUUCCAUGAGAUCAUAUUUUGAUGAAUUGUUUUACUGUUCUACUCACUGGGCUAUAGAGCUCAUCCCACUCCCUUAACCCCAGUCUUGCAGGUUCAGUGUACAGUGUACAGGGCAUGUCAGCAGAGCACAGAAAGAGUAAAGAGAAAUGUAAUAGUGUAGAGUGGACAUGUAAUGUUAAAGAGAUGUAAUAGAUGUGCUUGACUUAGUAGUUUGUGUUGUAAAUCUAUUGUUAUGUACAUGAUCUGUAUAUGUAUAUAUGUUUUACUGUAUGUGAAAAACCAGGCUUAACAGGUAUGAGUUAACCCAUCUAGAGCAAGCUCUAGUCAGGGGUACAGAGUACAGAGUACAGAGUACAGAGAUAGUGCAUGCACAGGUUAAGCCUUGGUUCAGAAAAGAGUUUUUAUUUUCGCAGAAAAUGUAUGAUCAUGUAUGAGAUUUACAGGUAAACAGAGAGCAUAGCAGGCUUGCUACGGGUUCUGGCAGCCUUAAGCCGACCUGAAUCCUAGCGCCGGUGACGAUCCAUUUUGGGGUCGUUACAGAUUGGUAUCAGAGCCCUAGGUUCACAUGAUCGGACCUAUAGAGACAGUGUCGGGCUCAUAAAGGGUAGAAGUGGUCAAGCACAAUAGGAAAUCAUGUCCACUAGAAUAGGGUAUUGCGUCCUAUCUGUUUCAUGCUAUGAGUUAUGCAUGUGCCUUCCUUGAUAUGUGAUGUUUAUGUGCUAAAAGUGCGAUCUUAUGUGUUGUUUUCCAGAGUUAAGAUGCGAGGAACUCGUCGAUCAGCUCGAUUGACUGGAGUCCCACUAGAUAGUGAGAGACCAACUGCUCGUCCUCCUACAUUGCCAAGGGCAAGGUCUCAGAGAUCUAGCAGGGAAGGUACGUCAAUAGACCCUAGAAGGUCUGUAGACGAGAGCAGAAGAGGUACAGUGAGAGGAGAAAGAUCAGAGGAAAGGAGGGAGGCUAUGGAGAUUGACCAGUCUAGAGAUGACAGCAUGGGUUUAGGCAGAUUUGAGGAAGGUAUGGGAGAGUCGCAGGGAGGUGCUCAGGCCUCAGGUUUUGGCUAUCCAGAGUAUCCGAUGGGAGGUAUGUCGGAGUACUCUAGUUUUGUCCCAUAUCCUCCUUACAUGCCAUAUAUGCCUUAUCCUCCUUAUUACCCACCAUAUCCUAUAUAUCCAUCUUCCCCUACCCAUCCAAGUGCAGCACACCCAGAGCCAAAUGACCCAGUACCACCACCAGAACCAGUAGCCCCUGUUGUUGACAGACAUCAACCUAGCUCCUCUAGAGGUAAAGUGCAGAUGACGGAGUACUUGAAAUUGGAUGCUCCUAAAUAUAACACGGGAGAUGAUCCAUUUGACUACCUCAGAGCAGUUAGGAUGAUAACCAGUGAAUUGGGAGCAGAUGAUAGGAGAGUCAUUGAGAUGGCAGGGUUUACACUUAAAUGCAAGAAAGCCAGAGAAUGGUUUAAGAACUAUGUGGAACCCAGAAUGGACAGCAUGUCAUGGGGAGAGUUCGCCAAUGAGUUUGCAGGGUGGGCUUUUCCUGACAGUUCUCGGGAGAUGAAAGUAAUAGAGUUCGAACAGUUGAGACAAACAGAUGAGAUGAGUGUUGAUGAAUUCACAGAUAAGUUCCUGGAUUUGCUUCAGUAGGUGGGUCAAGCCUAUGAUACUGAUCAGAAGAAGGCAAGGAGAUAUACUAUGAGACUGCAUCCCAGGUAUUCUUCCUUGAUUCUUCCAGCAGAAAAGGAGAGUUUCCAUACUAUAGUGGAUGCAGCCAGGAAAAUGGAAGCUAGUGCCAAUAUUCAGAAACAAUCAAAGGCACAGGUUUCGGGUUCUAAGGCCCCUAGUGCAGGCACUUCAGGCAGCAAGAGAUGGGAUAGAGCAAAAGGAACAAAGAGUAAGUUCUGGAGUAAAGUCAAGUCAGGUCUGGGAAUAGGUAGUGGCUCAAGCUCUGGCACAGCUCCAGUAUGCAGAAGAUGCGGAAAACCACAUGGCGGAGUUUGUCGGUUGGGAUCUACAGCUUGUUUUAGAUGUGGACAGGAAGGGCAUAUUGCUCGGGAUUGUCCUCAGGUGACUUUUGCACCAUCCCAGCAAAUGAGUUCAGGCAGUGUGGUAUAGCCAGUUGUACAGCCAGCAGCUCCAGUCAUGCCUCAGAGUAGUGGCAGAGGUAGAGGGAGAGGGGCAGCCUCUACUUCAGCAGCAGGUUCCUGAGGUGGAAAUCCGGUAGCCCCAGCACGGAUUUUCACUGUGACAUAGGAGGAGGCUAACAUGUCGAACACAGUGGUGUCAGGUAAUCUCAUCAUUGGGUGUUCAGAUGUGUAUGCUUUGAUGGACCCCGGUGCUUCUCAUUCCUUUAUUGCUUCGAGAGCCAUAGAGAGAUUGGGUUUGAUCAGUUCUGAGUUAGAGUAUCCUCUCUGGGUCAGUGGACCUAAAUGUGACCCAUCAGUGGCAGUGUCAGUCUGUCGUUUCAGUCCAGUGUUCAUAGAGGGUAGAUGCCUUCCAGCUGACCUUGUGGUUCUAGACUUGACAGAUUUUGAUGUCAUUCUAGGGAUGGAUUGGCUAUCUGCAUAUAGUGCUACUUUGGACUGUAGAGAGAAGAUAGUGAGUCUCAGAGACCAGGAUGGGUCAGAGUGUGUCUUCAGAGGAGACAGGAGAGGUACACCCAGAGGUAUGAUUUCAGCCCUUCAGGCUCGUCGUUUGCUUAGGAGGGGUUGUCAGGGGUUUCUAGCUCAUGUGAGAGAGCUAGACAAUCAGGUGAGGGAACCAGCCACUGUACCAGUAGUCCGAGAGUUUCUCGAUGUGUUCCCAGACGAUUUGCCAGGACUACCACCUGGUAGGGAGAUAGAGUUUGAAAUAGAAUUACUGCCUGAUACCAGACCUAUCUCUAUUCCUCCCUACCUGAUGGCACCAGCAGAGUUAAAAGAGUUGAAAGAACAGUUGCAGGACUUGGUAGAUAAGGGUUUCAUCCGCCCUAAUACCUCGCCUUGGGGUGCUCCAGUGCUCUUUGUUAGAAAGAAGGAUGGAUCCCUUAGACUUUGUAUCGACUACAGACAGUUGAACAAGGUCACUACUAAGAAUAGGUAUCCUUUACCUAGGAUUGAUGAUCUAUUUGACCAGCUAGCUGGAGCAGGUUGUUUCUCAAAAAUAGAUCUGAGAUCCAGGUAUCAUCAGUUGAGUGUCAGAGAGGCAGAUGUGCCAAAGACAGCUUUCAGGACCAGAUAUGGGCAUUAUGAGUUCUUAGUGAUGUCGUUCGGGUUGACUAACGCCCCUGCAGCAUUUAUGGAUCUCAUGAACAGAGUUUUCAGUGAGUUUCUGGAUCACUUUGUCAUUGUUUUCAUAGAUGAUAUCUUGGUGUAUUCCAGAGAUGCAGAGGAGCAUGCCCAGCAUCUGAGGAUAGUUCUGCAGACACUGAGAGAGCAGGGUUUGUAUGCCAAGUUCUCGAAGUGUGAGUUUUGGUUGAGGAGCAUUUCCUUCUUGGGACAUGUAGUAUCAGCAGAGGGUAUUGAGGUAGACCCCAAGAAGAUAGAGGCUGUAGCUAACUGGCCCAGACCCACUACAGUGACUGAGAUUAAAAGCUUUCUGGGACUGGUAGGGUACUACAGGAGGUUCAUUCAAGACUUCUCCAAGAUAGCGGCUCCUAUGACUAAAUUGACUCAGAAGAACCAGAAGUUUAUCUGGUCAGACCAGUGUGAAGCGAGCUUUGAAGAGCUCAAGAGGAGAUUAACAACAGCACCAGUGCUAGCUCUGCCUGUGAGCAAUGAGGAUUUCACAGUGUUCUGUGAUGCAUCUCGAGUGGGAUUGGGCUGUGAAUUGAUGCAGAGUGAUAGGGUGAUAGCUUAUGCUUCUAGACAGUUGAAGAAGCACGAGUUGAAUUACCCUACCCAUGACCUAGAGAUGGCAGCAGUUAUCUUUGCACUUAAGAUGUGGCGGCAUUACCUCUAUGGGAUUAAAUGCGAGAUCUUCACUGAUCACAAGAGUUUACAGUACAUCUUGAGUCAGAGAGAGCUGAAUUUGAGACAGAGAAGAUGGGUAGAAUUACUCAGUGAUUAUGAUUGUAAGAUUCAGUAUCAUCCGGGUAAGGCGAAUAUUGUGGCAGACGCCCUAAGCCGGAAGUCACUAGGCAGUUUAUCCCAUAUAGCAGCAGAGCGAAGACCAGUUGUGAUGGAGCUUUACAAGCUCUUAGAAGAAGGGUUAUAGCUCGAGUUGUCUGGUACAGGUGCGAUGAUAGCACAGAUGAGAGUGACACCUGUGUUUCUGGAGCAGAUAGCUCAGAGACAGCAUGAGGACCCUGAGUUGAUGAAAAUUGCCAGGACUGUUCAUUCAGGCAACAGUGCAGAGUUCAGAUGUGACAGCAAAGGGAUCCUCCGCUAUGGGAGUCGACUUUGUGUACCAGAUAGUAGCAGUGUGAAGGAAGACAUUAUGAGGGAAGCUCAUAAUGCGCGGUAUAGUGUUCACCCAGGGGCCACCAAGAUGUACCAGGAUCUGAAAAAGGUUUAUUGGUGGCCAGCCAUGAAGAAAGAAGUGGCGCAGUUUGUGACAGCCUGUGAGGUUUGCCAAAGGGUGAAACUAGAGCAUCAGAAACCAGCCGGAAUGCUUAACCCAUUACCGAUUCCAGAAUGGAAAUGGGAGAACAUAGCUAUGGAUUUUGUAGUGGGUUUCCCAGCAACGUCCAACAGGAUAGACUCUAUAUGGGUGAUUAUGGACAGACUCACGAAAUCUGCUCAUUUCAUUCCAGUUCGGAGUACCUAUUCUGUGGAUAAGUUGGCACAGGUCUAUCUGGAUGAGAUAGUGAGAUUACAUGGAGUUCCAAUGUCUAUAGUUUCAGACAGAGGACCUCAGUUUACCUCCAGAUUUUGGCGAAGUCUGCAGAGUGCGAUGGGCACGAGAUUAGAUUUUAGCACUGCUUUCCACCCACAGACUGAUGGACAGUCAGAGAGGACCAUCCAGACCAUAGAGGAUAUGCUUCGACUGUGUGUGUUAGACUUUGGUGGUUCUUGGAGGCAGCAUCUACCUUUGGUGGAGUUUGCCUACAAUAACAGCCAUCAUGCUAGCAUAGGGAUGGCUCCUUAUGAAGCUUUGUAUGGGAGGAAGUGCAGAUCCCCUGUUUGUUGGGAAGAGAUAGGAGAGAAGACUCUUGCAGGGCCAGAGUUGGUAGAGAUUACUAGUCGAGUGGUGCCCUUGAUCAGAGAUAGAAUCAGGACAGCUCAGAGUAGACAAAAAAGUUAUGCAGACGUUCGCAGGAAGCAGUUAGAGUUUCAGGAGGGUAGUAUGGUAUUGCUGAAAGUGUCGCCAAUGAAAGGAGUGGUUCGGUUUGGCAAGAAAGGUAAGUUAGCUCCACGAUACAUUGGACCCUUUGAGAUUUUGCAGAGGAUCGGAAAUGUGUCGUAUAAGCUAGAUUUACCUGCUUCUAUGGAGCGAAUUCACCCGGUAUUUCAUGUUUCUAUGCUACGGCAGUUUGUGUCAGAUCCGAAUCAGGUUCUGAGUGAGCCUGAGGUGGAGAUUCUUACAGAUCUCACCUAUAUAGAGCAGCCAGUACGAAUUCUGGACACACAGAUCAGACAGCUAAGGAACAAAGAGAUCCCAAUGGUGAAAGUUCUGUGGAACCACCAUAAUCUAGAAGAGUGUACGUGGGAGACGCCAGAGUCGAUGCUUCAGCAGUAUCCAUAUUUAUUUUGAGGUUCGUUUCCUCCUUUUUAUGUGUUUAUUGUUUGUUUUCGGAACAUUCGAGGACGAAUGGUCUUAAGGGGGGGAGAAUGUAAUACCCGGUGAGAGUUCGGCAUCGGAAUCCUACGUUCCGAUGGAAUUUCGGGUGUCGGAUGUCUCUAGAGGGUUAGAAUGAUGUUUUUCUAACAUGUUUUACUAUGUUCAUUCAGUUUAUUGCAUAAGGAAAUGAGUUUUUGAGUGAAAUGAACCAAGGCAGAAAAGCCAGGUUCGGCCGCCGAAGUUGAGGUUCGGCCGCCGAAGUUGAGGUUCGGCCGCCGAACAUGCAUGGCUUUUGGUUUCACGUGUGGCCGCCGAAGGUGGUCUGGCCAGCCACCUAUAAAUGGCCCUCAGUCGGUUGAAGCGGUAAAAACACCGUUUCUUUUAUCUUCUGAGGUGAGACCCUGUCCUUUGUGAGUAUUUCUUCAUGUUUUCAUUCAAUCAUGCAAAGAUUUGAUUAGUUUUUAUGAUUAUUUGAAGGUUUUAAGCUAAAAACUCAAAGUUGUGAAGUUUGGAGAGUUUGAAGGCAAGUUGCUCCAAAACUCCACGUUAGGAUCCUUCAUCUACUUGUUUUCACGAGGUAAGUGAAGAUCCUGAGCUUGUUUUUAUGUUUUCUGAAGGUUUUAUGGGGUUUGUGGAGAGAGUUGCAUGAAUAGGGUUAUUUGUGAGGUUUUGAUGAUUUUAUGCAUAAAGCUUAUUUCUGUGUUGUUUGUGUUGUGUGUUUGGGGUUUUUAGCUAGUUUUUGACCCCUUUGAGCAUAUACAAGAGUGUAUGCAAGUGAUGGAAGUGAGGUGGUUGAGUUGAAGAGUGUUUUGUGCAUUUGGCGAGAGACCGGGCAAGUUUCUGCCCUGCUGAUGAACUCAGGUUCGGCAGCCGAAGGUACAUUCGGCCGCCGAACCCCUGAGGAGGAGAGAGGAGGUGGCUUCGGCUACCCAAACUUGCCCCCGAGCUUUUGGACUUUCGGCUCUGGAGGGAAGUUCGGCCGCCGAAGGUGCCGCCGAAGGUUAGAGACUUUCGUCUCUGGAGUGCCUUUUGGCCUCCGAAACUAGCCCCCGAAAGGGUUCGACAGCCGAAAGUGGAAGUUCGGCCGCCGAAGGUGCUUGAGUUUCGUCUCUGGAGAGGACUUUCGGCCGCCGAACCUGCCGCCGAAAGUGUCCUGUCCAGCUUUCCUUUGCAUGCUUUGCAUGGAUGUUUGAGUGAGUUUAAGGGGAUUCUUGGGGAGUUUAAUAGAGUUGGUCAUAAGCUAGUUUGGUCCCUCAUUUGAGUCCAUCUGUAUAGGUACAGACCAGAGGAACCAGAGAGAGCAGCAGUGAGGACUGCUCCAGAGUGUACAGAGCCUGCAGAGUCAGUCAGUCCAGAUAGCCAGAGGUGAGUGGAACUAAACUUAACUCUUUUAAUUGACUAAUGGAAUGUUUUAGCAUAUCUCAUGCAUCAUAAUUGUGCAAUAGGUUGCUUACAUUAGUAUCCACGACUAUGUUGCAUUGCAUAAUUCUUUGUUGAUGUGGGUGAAUGCUGAAUGAUCCAAUAGUCUCAGACAGGAAGUCUAGGAGCCUUUGACUACGCCCUGGCAGGUAUAGUAAAGACCAGGAGCCUUUGACUACGCCCUGGCAAUUAUAGUAAAGACCAGGAGCCUUUGACUACGCCCUGGCAAUGGUAAGUACAGAGGUGUUAUAUACACAUAUACAUAUAUGAUAGGAAG
rnacentral:lncRNA from 1 species